UACAGAGGGUGCGAGCGUUAAUCGGAAUUACUGGGCGUAAAGCGCGCGUAGGCGGCUUUGCAAGUCGGGUGUGAAAUCCCCAGGCUUAACCUGGGAACUGCAUUCGAGACUGCAUUGCUAGAGUAUGGGAGAGGGAAGUGGAAUUUCCGGUGUAGCGGUGAAAUGCGUAGAUAUCAGAAGGAACAUCAGUGGCGAAAGCGACUUCCUGGACCAAUACUGACGCUCAUGUGCGAAAGCGUGGGGAGCAAACAGG
rnacentral:rRNA from 1 species